AAUAGAUACCCUGGUAGUCCACGCUGUAAACGAUGGGUACUAGGUUUGGUGGGUCUUGACCCCCGCCGAACCGGAGCUAACGCAAUAAGUACCCCGCCUGGGAAGUACGGUCGCAAGACUAAAACUCAAAGGAAUUGACGGGGGCCCGCACAAGCGGUGGAUCAUGUGGUUUAAUUCGAAGCAACGCGCAGAACCUUACCUGGAUUUGACAUCUCCUGACAGCCCUAGAGAUAGGGUUUCUGUAGCAAUACAGCAGGAAGACAGGUGCUGCAUGGCUGUCGUCAGCUCGUGUGGUGACAUGUUGGGUUAAGUCCCGCAACGAGCGCAACCCUUGUCUUUAGUUGCCAUCAUUCAGUUGGGCUCUCUAAAGAGACUGCCGUGGUUAACACGGAGGAAGUGGGGAUGACGUCAAGUCCUCAUGGCCUUUAUAUCCAGGGCGACACACGUGAUACAAUGGACGGUACAGAGGGACGCCAAGAGGCAAACUCGGAGCUAAUCUCAAAAAGCCGUUCUCAGUUCGGAUUGGAGUCUGCUAAC
rnacentral:rRNA from 1 species